UACGUAGGGGGCUAGCGUUGUCCGGAAUCAUUGGGCGUAAAGCGCGUGUAGGCGGUCCGGUAAGUCCGCUGUGAAAGUCGGGGGCUCAACCCUCGGAUGCCGGUGGAUACUGUCGGGCUUGAGUACGGAAGAGGCGAGUGGAAUUCCUGGUGUAGCGGUGAAAUGCGCAGAUAUCAGGAGGAACACCAAUUGCGAAGGCAGCUCCGCUGGGACGUUACUGACGCUGAGACGCGAAAGCGUGGGAG
rnacentral:rRNA from 1 species